rnacentral:rRNA from 1 species
CAACCUACCUCGGUCAGGGGGAUAGCCUCUCGAAAGAGAGAUUAACACCGCAUAAUAUUAUUGAGUGGCAUCAUUUGAUAAUCAAAUAUUUAUAGGAUCGAGAUGGGCAUGCGUGACAUUAGCUAGUUGGCGGGGCAACGGCCCACCAAGGCUACGAUGUCUAGGGGAUCUGAGAGGAUGACCCCCCACACUGGUACUGAGACACGGACCAG